GUAGGUGGCAAGCGUUGUCCGGAAUUAUUGGGCGUAAAGCGCGCGCAGGGCGGUCCUUUAAGUCUGAUGUGAAAGCCCACCGGCUCAACCGUGGAGGGUCAUUGGAAACUGGGGGACUUGAGCACAGAAGAGGAAAGCGGAAUUCCAAGUGUAGCGGUGAAAUGCGUAGAGAUUUGGAGGAACACCAGUGGCGAAGGCGGCUUUCUGGUCUGUAACUGACGCUGAGGCGCGAAAGCGUGGGGAGCAAACAGGAUUAGAUACCCCUGGUAGUCCACGCCGUAAACGAUGAGUGCUAAGUGUUAGGGGGUUUCCGCCCCUUAGUGCUGCAGCUAACGCAUUAAGCACUCCGCCUGGGGAGUACGGCCGCAAGGCUG
rnacentral:rRNA from 1 species